GCCUGGAGUGGGCGGGGCCUGGGGGCCGGGCCGGGGCGCCCGAUGGGGGCGUGCACUCUCCGCGGGGACACGCGCUCUGGGCCGCGGCAACUCGCUCCAAGUUCCCUCCCUCGCGCUCCGCGAAGCCCGCCCGAGCCCGCCCGAGCCCUCCCCUCCCCUCCUCUCCCCUCGGCGCGGACCUAGCCCUCCGCGGCCUCGCGCCCCGCGCCCCCGGCCCGCCGGCUCGGCUCCCCCCGGCCCCGCGGGGCGGCGCGAGGACUCGGCGGCGGCCCCCUCCCCGCGGGCCCGGGAGCCGACGCCGGCUGGGGCCGCACCUCCGGGACCGGGCAGCGCGGCCGAGAAUCAACUUCAAGUUUGCUAGAGCAGCUGUAUUUAUUUGCAAGAGGCUUUGGGCAUGA
rnacentral:lncRNA from 1 species